UAGGGAAUAUUGCACAAUGGGCGCAAGCCUGAUGCAGCCAUGCCGCGUGUGUGAAGAAGGCCUUCGGGUUGUAAAGUACUUUCAGCGGGGAGGAAGGGAGUAAAGUUAAUACCUUUGCUCAUUGACGUUACCCGCAGAAGAAGCACCGGCUAACUCCGUGCCAGCAGCCGCGGUAAUACGGAGGGUGCAAGCGUUAAUCGGAAUUACUGGGCGUAAAGCGCACGCAGGCGGUUUGUUAAGUCAGAUGUGAAAUCCCCGGGCUCAACCUGGGAACUGCAUCUGAUACUGGCAAGCUUGAGUCUCGUAGAGGGGGGUAGAAUUCCAGGUGUAGCGGUGAAAUGCGUAGAGAUCUGGAGGAAUACCGGUGGCGAAGGCGGCCCCCUGGACGAAGACUGACGCUCAGGUGCGAAAGCGUGGGGAGCAAACAGG
rnacentral:rRNA from 1 species